rnacentral:rRNA from 1 species
UACAGAGGGUGCGAGCGUUAAUCGGAAUUACUGGGCGUAAAGCGUGCGUAGACGGUUAUUUAAGUCGGGUGUGAAAGCCCCGGGCUCAACCUGGGAAUUGCAUUCGAGACUGAAUAGCUAGGGUACGGUAGAGGGAAGCGGAAUUUCCGGUGUAGCGGUGAAAUGCGUAGAUAUCGGAAGGAACAUCAGUGGCGAAAGCGGCUUCCUGGACCAGCACUGACACUGAGUCACGAAAGCGUGGGGAGCAAACAGG